rnacentral:misc_RNA from 1 species
GAAAUGCGAAAAGCAAUGCGAAUUGCAGAAUUCCGCGAGUCAUCAGAUCUUCGAACGCAUCUGGCGCCGACCGGAUCUCCGAUCGGCAUACUUGUUUCAGUGUGUUGUUAAGACUCACAAAUCUCAAUGUGAUUGACAGGAACACAUCACGAAAGUGAUGUUACUUGUCUCUCAUGAAAGAAGCGCUGUGCGAACCGCACUGAUGCAGUAGUCAGUCCUUGUGAUUGAUACUCAUUGGUCGGUCUCAGAAUCAGCAGUCUUAUACAAUCAUCACAUACGCAUCUGAGGCAAGUAAGAUAACCCGCUGAACUUAA